GACGAACGCUGGCGGCGUGCUUAACACAUGCAAGUCGAACGGAAAGGCCCUGCUUUUGUGGGGUGCUCGAGUGGCGAACGGGUGAGUAACACGUGAGUAACCUGCCCUUGACUUUGGGAUAACUUCAGGAAACUGGGGCUAAUACCGGAUAGGAGCUCCUGCUGCAUGGUGGGGGUUGGAAAGUUUCGGCGGUUGGGGAUGGACUCGCGGCUUAUCAGCUUGUUGGUGGGGUAGUGGCUUACCAAGGCUUUGACGGGUAGCCGGCCUGAGAGGGUGACCGGCCACAUGGGGACUGAGAUACGGCCCAGACUCCUACGGGAGGCAGCAGUGGGGAAUAUUGCACAAUGGGCAGAAGCCUGAUGCAGCAACGCCGCGUGCGGGAUGACGGCCUUCGGGUUGUAAACCGCUUUCGCCUGUGACGAAGCGUGAGUGACGGUAAUGGGUAAAGAAGCACCGGCUAACUACGUG
rnacentral:rRNA from 1 species